UACGUAGGGGGCAAGCGUUGUCCGGAAUCAUUGGGCGUAAAGAGCGCGUAGGCGGUCCGGUAAGUCCGCUCUGAAAGCCCGGGGCUCAACCCCGGGAGGCGGGCGGAUACUGUCGGGCUAGAGUCCGGAAGAGGCGAGUGGAAUUCCUGGUGUAGCGGUGAAAUGCGCAGAUAUCAGGAGGAACACCGAUGGCGAAGGCAGCUCGCUGGGACGGUACUGACGCUGAGGCGCGAAAGCCAGGGGAGCGAACGGG
rnacentral:rRNA from 1 species